CAGGACAAAUCUAAUCUGGCUUACAGUCAGAAAAAUGUCAAGUAGGAAAGAACCAGUUUAAUCCAGUCAAACUGGAGAGCAAACUACUGAGGACACUUCUUUGAUUUCAGACUGUGAUGACAGAGGAAAAACUGAAAUCCAAACUACAGCAGAGGGUAAUUUGGCAUGAGAUUCAACAUGAGGCUGUGUGAUGAACACGAGGAGGAGCAGACAGCAGAGUCUGCAGCCUCCAGCUGCUCCAGGAACACCGAGCGGCUCAACGUGACACGUUUCAGCUGCCAACACCUGCCUGCAGAUGAUGACGAACAGAUCAGCAGAGCAGAGUUUCCAACAGCCGUCUAUCUGCUGAUGAAACAGAAUCAGUCCCAACAGCUGAUUGAUUUCACCUUCAACCUGGAAGCUUCAGUGGCAAAAAUUGUGUGUGUGAGGACGAGCAGUAAGGGAUUUCCUCCAUCUUUCUAGACUGCCUGAACAUUACAGUUAUGAUGCUGUCAAGAAAAAUGAAUGCUUGAAGAGUGGCCACUUGAUGGGAAACCUCAGAUUCAUGAAUUCAGUCAAGAUGUGAGAAAUCUCUCCAACAAGCUGGACAUCAGCCCUUUCUGUCAGGUGCUGGAUGUGAAUCAUCUGUCUUCAUGUGAUAAAGGUCGUUCUGACUCAGCAGGAUUGAGCUGCUCAUUUCAUGAUGUGGUGGAGCAGGUCACCAGACCUACAGCCGGAAACAAAAAUCCAAACUGAGCUUUUGCAGUUAAGUUGUAAUCAUGUCUGAAUUCCUGCACAGUUUAUUUCAGUUUUCAUUUAUAUAAUUUUUUGAGUGUAUUGCUUUAGUGCCAGUCAUGACAUUAAAAAUAAGGACAAAGCCAGGAAGAAGAUUUCCUGUUGGUCAGUUAAAGGUCCAUUGUGUAGGAUCAACCUGAUCUCACUUCAAAGUUGUGGUGAACUUUGAGACAUUUUGAGGUACGUCCUCACCAUGUUUCUUUUCCUAAACCUAACCACAGUAACUUUACAUUCAUUACGUUAACUGCAGUUAAGGACAUACGAACAGUUCUAUGAGAAUACGUCAAAUACCGGUGCUUGGUCAUUUGGGGGGGUGACUUCUGGGGUCGGACACCAACAAAAAAAGCUAUCUUUUCAUAUCAGUGUGAUAUGCAGGUGGUCACUGUUAUUUUUUAAUGGCACCCAGCGGCAUCAGGGGGAAAUGUAACGUGUGUUUAUUGUUGAACAUGUCCUGUUAAAAUGGAAGUGUAAUUUGAAAACAGAUAAUGCAUGUAACAGGCUGAAGUUAACACGGCGUCCCAGAACAUCAACAAGUAACGCACCCUGGGUACCUUGCACGUCAUAUCUCGAUAUGGAAAGUUCAUGACAAAAUACUGAUAUAAACAAUAAACACUAAAGGAAUUCUAACCAGGAGAAAUUUCAGCUGGUUGCAACCUGCAGUCCUCACUGCUUGAUGCCACUCAAUCUCCCUAAAUCUGACACACUGGAUCUUUAACUGUAGAGAAUAUUAUAGUUUUGGUUUAAGAACAAGUCUGCAGUUCUUCGACACACAACUUGUAUAUUUAACCAAAGUCAUAAUCUUUCCUAACAUUAACCAAAGUGCUUUUGUUGCCUAAAUCUAAGACUCAAAAGAUAAAUGUAGCAAUAUAAAGAAUAUGAAAACUUAAUUUCAAGGAAAGAGGGUAAAUUUUUACAGACUCCUUGAAAGAAUUCUUUUAUUUUGUAAUAUAUUGUUAUCGAAGUUUGUCACCUGUGAUAGAUAAACUAUUGUAGCUGGCUUCACGCUCUAUUGUGUGAUGUUAUUAAUCGUUCAUCUGUUUUUCUGUUAACCAGUUCUCUAAGGUAUGACCAAUAGAGGACUCAGAUUUUGUCAUUUUGUUUCUUCAUACACACGAGUGAUUUUAUUUGUUAAAAAUAAGCUAUUAAAUCACAACACCCUCAGAGUAUUCUUUUAUAUCUACAGAUUAAAUUAUACUUUUAUACAGACUUCCAACUAAAGAAUUAUCAUUUAUUUGUUUAUAUUAUUAUUACAAUAAAAAGUUGGCUGCAUUGUCCAGCCCCAGUCAUCAAAAUCUCAUUUAUCUGCAUUGAAAACCUAAAUUUUCCGUUUUAAUCUUGUGUGAUCACUGAACAGAUUCUGUUUAAAGGCUGCAUAUUG